CACUUCUAAGGAAGGCAGCAGGCGCGCAAAUUACCCAAUCCUGACUCAGGGAGGUAGUGACAAGAAAUAACAAUAAACCGGCUUAUGCCGGUUUAAUUGGAAUGAGUACAAUUUAAACAUCUUAACGAGGAACAAUUGGAGGGCAAGUCUGGUGCCAGCAGCCGCGGUAAUUCCAGCUCCAAUAGCGUAUACUAAAGUUGUUGCAGUUAAAAAGCUCGUAGUUGGAUUUCUGUGGGGACGGAGCGGCCGGCCGCAACACGCGGUUCGAGCUAGCGCUUUCCCUACAUCCUGCCGCGAACCGUGCUACCAUUAGUUUGGUGGCGCCGGGGAUCGGCUCGAUUACUUUGAGAAAAAUAGAGUGUUCAAAGCAGGCCACACGCCUUGAAUAAGUUAGCAUGGAAUAAUAACUAAGGACUUCGGUUCUAUUUUGUUGGUGUUCGGGACUGAAGUAAUGAUUGAUAGGGACAGUUGGGGCGGUCUGUAUUCCAAAGCGAGAGGUGAAAUUCUUAGACCUUCGGAAGACAAACAGCUGCGAAAGCGUUCCGCAAGGAUGUUCCCUUUGAUCAAGAACGAAAGUUGGGGGAUCGAAGACGAUCAGAUACCGUCGUAGUCUCAACUAUAAACUAUACCAGCUAGGGAUCGGCCAACGUUAUUUCAAACCGACUUGGUCGGCACCUUAUGAGAAAUCAAAGCAUCUGGGUUCCGGGGGGAGUAUGGUCGCAAGGCUGAAACUUAAAGGAAUUGACGGAAGGGCACCACCAGCCGUGGAGCCUGUGGCUUAAUUUGACUCAACACGGGAAAACUUACCAGGUCCAGACAUAGUAAGGAUUGACAGAUUGAUAGCUCUUUCUUGAUUCUGUGGGUGGUGGUGCAUGGCCGUUCUUAGUUGGUGGAGUGAUUUGUCUGGUUAAUUCCGUUAACGAACGAGACCCCAGCCUGCUAAAUAGCGCGCGUGAGCUUUGCUCGCGGCGAGCUUCUUAGAGGGACUAUGAUGCGCGAUAGCACAUGGAAGUUUGGGGCAAUAACAGGUCUGUGAUGCCCUUAGAUGUUCUGGGCCGCACACGGGCUACACUGGCGCCUGCAACGAGCAUAUCAGCUGGCCCGAGAGGGUCUUGGCUAAUCUUUUGAACCGGCGCCGUGCUUGGGAUUGACCUUUGCAAUUGUUGGUCAUGCAACGAGGAAUGCCUUGUAAACGCGAGUCAUCAGCUCGCAUUGAAUACGUCCCUGCCCUUUGUACACACCGCCCGUCGCUCCUACCGAUGAAUGUUCCGAUGAAAUUUUCGGAGAGCACCUGUGAACUUGGCUCCGCCUUGCGAACGGGAGGCUCAAAGUCACUUAAAUCUGAACAUUUCGAGG
rnacentral:rRNA from 1 species